GACGAACGCUGGCGGCGUGCUUAACACAUGCAAGUCGAACGAAGAGCGAUGGAAGCUUGCUUCUAUCAAUCUUAGUGGCGAACGGGUGAGUAACGCGUAAUCAACCUGCCCUUCAGAGGGGGACAACAGUUGGAAACGACUGCUAAUACCGCAUACGAUCCGACCUCGGCAUCGAGGAUGGAUGAAAGGUGGCCUCUAUUUAUAAGCUAUCACUGAAGGAGGGGAUUGCGUCUGAUUAGCUAGUUGGAGGGGUAACGGCCCACCAAGGCAAUGUUCAGUAGCCGGUCUGAGAGGAUGAACGGCCACAUUGGGACUGAGACACGGCCCAGACUCCUACGGGUGGCAGCAGUGGGGAAUCUUCCGCAAUGGACGAAAGUCUGACGGAGCAACGCCGCGUGAGUGAUGACGGCCUUCGGGUUGUAAAGCUCUGUUAAUCGGGACGAAAGGUCUUCUUGCGAAUAGUUAGAAGAAUUGACGGUACCGGAAUAGAAAGCCACGGCUAACUACGUG
rnacentral:rRNA from 1 species